UACGUAGGUGGCAAGCGUUGUCCGGAUUUACUGGGCGUAAAGAGCGCGCAGGCGGUCGUCCAAGUCGCGUGUGAAAGCCCCCGGCUCAACUGGGGAGGGUCACGCGAUACUGGUCGACUCGAAGGCAGGAGAGGGUAGUGGAAUUCCCGGUGUAGUGGUGAAAUGCGUAGAUAUCGGGAGGAACACCAGCGGUGUAGACGGCUUUCUGGACCGUAGCUGACGCUGAGACACGAAAGCGUGGGUAGCAAACAGG
rnacentral:rRNA from 1 species